GACGAACGCUGGCGGCGUGCUUAACACAUGCAAGUCGAACGGAAAGACCCUGCUUUUGUGGGGUGCUCGAGUGGCGAACGGGUGAGUAACACGUGAGUAACCUGCCCUUGACUUUGGGAUAACUUCAGGAAACUGGGGCUAAUACCGGAUAGGAGCUCCUGCUGCAUGGUGGGGGUUGGAAAGUUUCGGCGGUUGGGGAUGGACUCGCGGCUUAUCAGCUUGUUGGUGGGGUAGUGGCUUACCAAGGCUUUGACGGGUAGCCGGCCUGAGAGGGUGACCGGCCACAUUGGGGCUGAGAGACGGCCCAGACUCCUACGGGAGGCAGCAGUGGGGAAUAUUGCACAAUGGGCGGAAGCCUGAUGCAGCAACGCCGCGUGCGGGAUGACGGCCUUCGGGUUGUAAACCGCUUUCGCCUGUGACGAAGCGUGAGUGACGGUAAUGGGUAAAGAAGCACCGGCUAACUACGUG
rnacentral:rRNA from 1 species